AGAGUUUGAUCAUGGCUCAGAGCGAACGCUGGCGGCAGGCUUAACACAUGCAAGUCGAGCGCCUGUAGCAAUACAGGAGCGGCAGACGGGAGAGUAACACGUGGGAACAUACCCUUUGGUUCGGAAUAACUCAGGGAAACUUGAGCUAAUACCGGAUACGCCCUUACGGGGAAAGAUUUAUUGCCGAAGGAUUGGCCCGCGUCCGAUUAGCUAGUUGGUGAGGUAACGGCUCACCAAGGCGACGAUCGGUAGCUGGUCUGAGAGGAUGAUCAGCCUCAUUGGGACUGAGACACGGCCCAAACUCCUACGGGAGGCAGCAGUGGGGAAUAUUGGACAAUGGGCGCAAGCCUGAUCCAGCCAUGCCGCGUGGGUGAUGAAGGCCUUAGGGUUGUAAAGCCCUUUCGGCGGGGAAGAUAAUGACGGUACCCGCAGAAGAAGCCCCGGCUAACUUCGUGCCAGCAGCCGCGGUAAUACGAAGGGGGCUAGCGUUGCUCGGAAUCACUGGGCGUAAAGCGCACGUAGGCGGACUCUUAAGUCGGUGGUGAAAUCCUGGAGCUCAACUCCAGAACUGCCUUCGAUACUGGGAGUCUUCGAGUUCGGGAGAGGUGAGUGGAACUGCGAGUGUAGAGGUGAAAUUCGUAGAUAUUCGCAAGAACACCAGUGGCGAAGGCGGCUCACUGGCCCGAUACUGACGCUGAGGUGCGAAAGCGUGGGGAGCAAACAGGAUUAGAUACCCUAGUAGUCC
rnacentral:rRNA from 1 species